GAUGAACGCUGGCGGCGUGCUUAACACAUGCAAGUCGAACGGUGAAGCCAAGCUUGCUUGGUGGAUCAGUGGCGAACGGGUGAGUAACACGUGAGCAACCUGCCCUGGACUCUGGGAUAAGCGCUGGAAACGGCGUCUAAUACUGGAUAUGAGCCUCUUCCGCAUGGUGGGGGUUGGAAAGAUUUUUUGGUCUGGGAUGGGCUCGCGGCCUAUCAGCUUGUUGGUGAGGUAAUGGCUCACCAAGGCGUCGACGGGUAGCCGGCCUGAGAGGGUGACCGGCCACACUGGGACUGAGACACGGCCCAGACUCCUACGGGAGGCAGCAGUGGGGAAUAUUGCACAAUGGGCGAAAGCCUGAUGCAGCAACGCCGCGUGAGGGAUGACGGCCUUCGGGUUGUAAACCUCUUUUAGCAGGGAAGAAGCGAAAGUGACGGUACCUGCAGAAAAAGCGCCGGCUAACUACGUG
rnacentral:rRNA from 1 species